AAACCAACAGGGAUUGCCUCAGUAACGGCGAGUGAAGCGGCAAGAGCUCAAAUUUGAAAUCUAGUACCUUUGGUGCUCGAGUUGUAAUUUGAAGAAGGCUAUCUUGGAUUUGGCCUUUAUCUAUGUUCCUUGGAACAGGACGUCACAGAGGGUGAGAAUCCCGUGCGAUGAGGUGUCCAUUUCUAUGUAAGAUGCUUUCGAAGAGUCGAGUUGUUUGGGAAUGCAGCUCUAAGUGGGUGGUAAAUUCCAUCUAAAGCUAAAUAUUGGCGAGAGACCGAUAGCGAACAAGUACAGUGAUGGAAAGAUGAAAAGAACUUUGAAAAGAGAGUGAAAAAGUACGUGAAAUUGUUGAAAGGGAAGGGUAUUAGAUCAGACUUGGUAUUUAGUUAUCAUUGCUCCUUGUGGGUGGUGCUCUAGCUUUUUACUGGGCCAACAUCAGUUUUGGUGGCAAGAUAAUGACAUUUGAAUGUGGCUCCUCGGAGUGUUAUAGCUUUUGUUGAUAUUGCCUACCGGGACUGAGGUCUGCGGCUUUGCCUAGGAUGUUGGCGUAAUGAUCCAAUACCGC
rnacentral:rRNA from 1 species